GGAAAACGCCGCUCCAUACAGCAGCGAACUACAGUAGCCCAGAGGUCGUCAAAUGUCUUCUGAAUAACAGAGCAAUUAUAGUUAGGGAUGGAAAUUUGUUUAGUCCACUUCACAUUGCUGCGUUCAAAGGACAUCUUAAUAUUGUUGAAUUGUUGGUGAUGUUCAAACCUUCCAUGAUCAAUUGGGAAAAUAAAUACAAACGAACAGCAUUGCUUACAGCAGCUGUGAAAGGCAAAGCAGAUGUUGUGAAGUAUUUGCUAGAUAGCAUGGCGGCAAUUACAGAAGAUUAUGAGUUCUUUAACUGCUUGGAUUGGGCCAUCAUAAAUGACGAUAC